rnacentral:rRNA from 1 species
GAUCCUGGCUCAGGAUGAACGCUAGCUACAGGCUUAACACAUGCAAGUCGAGUGGCAACAUUUUAGUUUGCUUGCAAACUAAAGAUGGCGACCGGCGCACGGGUGAGUAACACGUAUCCAACCUGCCGAUAACUCGGGGAUAGCCUUUCGAAAGAAAGAUUAAUAUCCGAUGGUAUAUUAAAACCGCAUGGUUUUACUAUUAAAGAAUUUCGGUCAUCGAUGGGGAUGCGUUCCAUUAGGUUGUUGGCGGGGUAACGG